GGGCCCGCACAAGCGGUGGAGCAUGUGGUUUAAUUCGAAGAUACGCGCAGAACCUUACCAACACUUGACAUGUUCGUCGCGACUUUAAGAGAUUAAAGUUUUCGGUUCGGCCGGACGAAACACAGGUGCUGCAUGGCUGUCGUCAGCUCGUGUCGUGAGAUGUUGGGUUAAGUCCCGCAACGAGCGCAACCCUCACUUUUAGUUGCCAUCAUUUAGUUGGGCACUCUGAAAGAACUGCCAGUGAUAAGCUGGAGGAAGGUGGGGAUGACGUCAAGUCCUCAUGGCCCUUACGUGUUGGGCUACACACGUGCUACAAUGGUAUCUACAACAGGAAGCAAAACAGCGAUGUUAAG
rnacentral:rRNA from 1 species